rnacentral:rRNA from 1 species
AACGUAGGAGACAAACGUUAUCCGGAGUUACUGGGCGUAAAGGGCGUGUAGGUGGUUUCGUAAGUCUGGCGUGAAAUUUUUCGGCUUAACCGGGAAAGGUCGUCGGAUACUGCGGGACUGGAGGACGGUAGAGGCGUGUGGAAUUCCGGGUGUAGCGGUGAAAUGCGUAGAUAUCUGGAGGAACACCGGUGGCGAAGGCGGCAUCCUGGACCGGUAUUGACGCUGAGGCGCGACAGCGUGGGGAGCAAACAGG